AAAAAACAAAAAACAAAAACAAAAACAAAACAAAAAACAAACAAACAGGAAUUAAUGCCUGCCCUUUGUGAAUUUACUAAAGGAUCACAGAAUACAGUCCUUUUGUUCAUAUAGAGUACAUUAGGAGUACAGUAACAACUUUGACAAAUGAAGAACCUACUAGAAGUCACCAGUGAUCUGUGAGAUGGAUUGUAACAAGUAACAAGUCAGGGACUUAAAAAGAACCCAGGAGAACAGUGUUGCAGAAUACAAAGAUGGUGCAAUUCUGGAAAAUUCAUGCAUGGGGUACAUCAGAGGAGAAAGAUUCAUGACACUUCAGUGAGCACAGCAUUCAAUACUCAUGCCAAAUUAAAGCUACCAACAGACUAAGAAUACAGGAAACACUAACGAAAUGGCUCAGACUUAAGCUCAGUUUAAUGCCUGGGCCCCGUAUAACAGAAGUGGAGAACUCAUUCCCGUAUAUGUCCUAGGACUUCCACAAAAGCUUCCUUAGUGAAAUAAGAGGUGUGAUGUAGAUAUGGUGAGUGGCACACAGCAUCUGCAUCUCCUGGAACCAUAGUCUGCGGACUACUUGAUCCUGAUCCACAGUUAAUAUUGUUAUGGAUCCUGGUCUACAAAGUGAGUUCCAGGACAGCCAGGGCUGUUACACAGAGAAAUCUUAAAAAAAAAAAAAAAAAAAGCAAAACCAAAAAUCAACAACAAAAAAGACAAAACUGUUAUGGAGCCAACAGGACAACGGGUCAGUGGGUAAAGACACUUGCAGUGCCAAUGCGAGCCUGGUGCCUUAGUUUGGUCCCCAGAGCCCACAUAAAAGUGGGAGGAAGGAACUGACUCCACACUUCUUUUUAUCUGUCUCCACACAUGCAUUGUGGUAUGCACAUGCCCACACACAUAUAUCUUACACACACACACCAGAUACACAAUAUUUCUAAAAAUGUAUUUAUGUGUGCCUGUGUAUUUCUGUGUGAGGAGACCAGAAGUUGAUGUUGAACAUUUUUCACUAUUGCUCUCCACAUAAUUUUUUGAGACAGUCUCUCAUGGAAUCUAGAGCGCUCCGUUCUGGCUAGACUGGCUGGCCAGGGAGGCUCCAAGACCCACCGGCUUCCACUCCUGAGCACUGAUGCUAAAGAUGAUGUUACUGCUGCAUCCAGCUUUUACAUGGAUCCUAAUUGAGGUCCUCAUAUUUGCAUAGGAGGCUCUUUACACAUUGAACCAGUUCCUCAGCCUAAGAAAUGCUUUUAUAUAUUCUCUCCCCUUAGAGAUAUGUAAAAUAUCUUAAAUAAAUAAAAUAU
rnacentral:lncRNA from 1 species